CCUACGGGUGGCAGCAGUGGGGAAUAUUGCACAAUGGGGGAAACCCUGAUGCAGCGACGCCGCGUGAGCGAUGACGUAUUUCGGUAUGUAAAGCUCUAUCAGCAGGGAAGAAAAUGACGGUACCUGACUAAGAAGCCCCGGCUAACUACGUGCCAGCAGCCGCGGUAAUACGUAGGGGGCAAGCGUUAUCCGGAUUUACUGGGUGUAAAGGGAGCGUAGGCGGCGGUGCAAGCCAGAUGUGAAAGCCCGGGGCUCAACCCCGGGACUGCAGUUGGAACUGUGCUGCUAGAGUGGCGGAGAGGCAGGCGGAAUUCCUGGUGUAGCGGUGAAAUGCGUAGAUAUUAGGAGGAACACCAGUGGCGAAGGCAGCCUGCUGGACGAUGACUGACGUUGAUGCUCGAAAGCGUGGGGAGCAAACAGGAUUAGAUACCCCAGUAGUC
rnacentral:rRNA from 1 species